rnacentral:rRNA from 1 species
UACGUAGGGGGCUAGCGUUGUCCGGAUUUAUUGGGCGUAAAGCGCGCGCAGGCGGUUCCUUAAGUCUGAUGUGAAAGCCCCCGGCUCAACCGGGGAGGGUCAUUGGAAACUGGGGAACUUGAGUACUGAAGGGGAAAGCGGAAUUCCACGUGUAGCGGUGAAAUGCGUAGAGAUGUGGAGGAACACCCAGGGGGAAACCAGUCGACUGGGCAUCUACUGACGCUGAGGUGCGAGAGCGUGGGGAGCGAACCGG